AGCUACAGCUGUGCUGUUGAAGGUCAUGAGAGCCUCGUCUCUCCUCCAGUGUACUCUCCUAGAAACACCAGAGCAGUGGUAGUUUCCUCUGGAGAGAGAGUGGAGGGAGAAUCAGUGACUCUGAGCUGCAGCAGUGAUGCAGACCCUCCUGUUCUCAUCUACUCCUGGUUUAAGCAGAGAGCAGCUGCAGACGCACCACUGACAACAGGCCAGAAUUACACCAUCACCAACAUCAGCUCCCAGCACAGUGGACUCUACUACUGCACUGCUCACAACCAGCUAGGACUGCACAGCUCAACACCCACCCGUCUGGAUGUGUUACACUCAGCUGAGUUGUGGAAGCUGAAUGCUGUUUGGGGAGCUGUUGGAGUCGUUCCUGUUCUGGCUCUCUCUCUUCUUACUGCCGUUCUGUGCAUUAAGAGGAAGAGAGGAGCAGAGAGAGACUCAGAUAUUCAG